GGCAUAACUGGGUGAUGGACUGAAACUAACACCUUGGCCAAAUUUGGUUCGCCAUGAGCGUCUCCAAUCCAAGUUGCUCUUAAUUAUGGAGUCAACGUUACUUUCACUUGUAGCAUGAUACAGAGUUAUUUCCCUAACACUGCCAUAUCGGUUCAUAUAUUCUGCUUUUUUCAGCUGAUAACAGCACCAUAAAUAUGGAUUCAUAACCUUCACAACAGAUCUGACGCACAAAUUAUGUGGCAUAGAACAGGUUAGAAGUGAUCUUUCAAAUGUACCAAUCUCUUUCUCUUCAACUUCAUCAAAAGAUGUCAAUGUCCAACAUGGAUGUAGAUGCUUCAGUGCUAGUUCUGUCAUUGCUGAGUCACCUGCGGCAGAAAUUGAUUAAGAAAUCAGGGCACACUGUACCCUAUGACAUACAAACUGAUAAAGAGACACCAUUUUGGAACAAUGGAGGGAGCAUUUGCAGUAGCCACAGUGGAUUAUGCACUGGAAGGUAGAUCAAUGGCCGACCAUCAUCUUCAUCAGUGAAUUCUGGUUUUGUUAACACGGAGAUGCUUCCCAAAAUUAUCUGUAUCUUUAUGCCCGUGCAACAAAUAUU